GAUGAACGCUGGCGGCGUGCCUAAUACAUGCAAGUCGAGCGAACAGACGAGGAGCUUGCUCCUCUGACGUUAGCGGCGGACGGGUGAGUAACACGUGGAUAACCUACCUAUAAGACUGGGAUAACUUCGGGAAACCGGAGCUAAUACCGGAUAAUAUAUUGAACCGCAUGGUUCAAUAGUGAAAGACGGUUUUGCUGUCACUUAUAGAUGGAUCCGCGCCGCAUUAGCUAGUUGGUAAGGUAACGGCUUACCAAGGCAACGAUGCGUAGCCGACCUGAGAGGGUGAUCGGCCACACUGAAACUGAGACACGGUCAAGACUCCUACGGGAGGCAGCAGUAGGGAAUCUUCCGCAAUGGGCGAAAGCCUGACGGAGCAACGCCGCGUGAGUGAUGAAGGUCUUCGGAUCGUAAAACUCUGUUAUUAGGGAAGAACAAAUGUGUAAGUAACUAUGCACGUCUUGACGGUACCUAAUCAGAAAGCCACGGCUAACUACGUG
rnacentral:rRNA from 1 species